rnacentral:rRNA from 1 species
UUGGACCUGAUAUCAGGUAAGAUUACCCGCGAACUUAA